rnacentral:rRNA from 1 species
UACGGAGGAUGCGAGCGUUAUCCGGAUUUAUUGGGUUUAAAGGGUGCGUGGGCGGGCUCUUAAGUCAGCGGUAAAAAUUCGGGGCUCAACCCCGUCCGGCCGUUGAAACUGGGGGCCUUGAGUGGGCGAGAAGAAGGCGGAAUGCGUGGUGUAGCGGUGAAAUGCAUAGAUAUCACGCAGAGCCCCGAUUGCGAAGGCAGCCUUCCGGCGCCCUACUGACGCUGAGGCACGAAAGUGCGGGGAUCGAACAGG